rnacentral:rRNA from 1 species
UACGGAGGGUGCAAGCGUUAUCCGGAUUCACUGGGUUUAAAGGGUGCGUAGGCGGCCCUGUAAGUCAGUGGUGAAAUUCUUGAGCUUAACUGAAGGAUUGCCAUUGAUACUGUAGGGCUUGAGUACAGAUGAGGUAGGCGGAAUUGAUGGUGUAGCGGUGAAAUGCAUAGAUACCAUCAAGAACACCGAUUGCGAAGGCAGCUUACUAAGCUGUAACUGACGCUGAUGCACGAAAGCGUGGGGAUCGAACAGG